AAGCUCGUAGUAGAAGCUCGGGCUCCGGCCGACCGGUCCGCCUCACCGCGUGCACUGGUUCGGCCGGGCCUUCACCUUCUGCGGAACCGCAUCCCCUUCACUGGGGGUGUCGGGGAAACAGGACGUUUACUGUGAAAAAAUUAGAGUGCUCCAGGCAGGCCUAUGCUCGAAUAGAUUAGCAUGGAAUAAUGGAAUAGGACGUGUGGUCUUAUUUCGUUGGUUUCUAGGACCGCCGUAAUGAUUAAUAGGGACAGUCGGGGGCAUCAGUAUUCAAUCGUCAGAGGUGAAAUUCUUGGAUCGAUUGAAGACUAACUACUGCGAAAGCAUUUGCCAAGGAUGUUUUCAUUUAUCAGGAACGAAAGUUAGGGGAUCGAAGACGAUCAGAUACCGUCGUAGUCUUAACCAUAAACUAUGCCGACUAGGGAUCGGACGGUGUUAUUUCUUGACCCGUUCGG
rnacentral:rRNA from 1 species